GAUGAACGCUGGCGGCGGGCCUAACACAUGCAAGUCGAGCGAGCACACGGGGAGCUUCCGCCCUUGAGGGUGGCGGGGGACGGACGGGUAACACGUGGAUCGCAUACCUCUAUGACUGGGGGAAUAACGGGGAAAGGGAGCUAAUACGGCAUCAUAUAUCGAACCGGGUGGAUCAAUGGUUAGAGACGGUUUUGGCGGGAGUAAUAGCCGAAUCCGCGCCAGAUUAGCUAGUUGGUAAGGUAACGGCUUACCAAGGCUACGACGCGUAGCCGCUCUGAGAGGAUGAUCGGCCACCCUGGAACUGAGACACGGUCCAGACUCCUACGGGAGGACGCAGUAGGGAAUCUUCCGCAAUGGGCGAAAGCCUGACCUAGCAACACCGCGUGAGUGAUGAAGGACUUCGGCUCGUAAAGCUCUGUUGUUCGGAAAGAACAAAAGCAUAUUUAGCUAUGCAGGUAUUGACGGUACCUAAAGAAAAAGCCCCGGCUAACUCCGUG
rnacentral:rRNA from 1 species